AUUCGCUUCUCUUCUACUAUUGCAUGUGAAACAUGUUAUCUCAUUGCAGAGUCUGUUUGGGUCUUGAGAUCCACAACUUUGUUCUGGCGGUUGAAUCGAGUUUGCCGUUUCACCUGGAGAUUCAUAGAAAUUUUUAAGUUACUGUUGAUGGUUACCGAGAUGGAAAAGGGGAAAGGGAGGCAGAUAAAAGGGAACAGAGAAUUAUUGGUUCAUAGAACAGAUUGACUGCUGCUUACCGGGAGUCCAUAUCGCAAGAAGAUACGGGCUUGGAUCAUCAGGUUCUCGUCUAUCCAUCUGUAUGUUUAAAUGAGUAAAUGUUACAAUUCUAGUGCGUUAUGUGUGCUUGUAUCAAACUAAAAUGAAAAUGUUACCUCUCUCAGGAGAGGAUGUGAAUCUGGAAGCUCAUACCUGCAUUUAGAUAAAUACUUGAGUUAUAGAGUGAAUUACAUUGUCUGUUUAUUUUAUUUUGUUUUUAAAUUUUUUCUUUUAAUGAGAAACCAAGGUUUCAUUGAGAAAAAUGAAAGAAUGAACAAAACAUACUAUUCCAACUAGUGGAGCCCACCAACUACGAGAAGGGACUCCAUUUCAAAAGGAUAGCCUAGUGCAUAACUACGAAAAAGUUGGGAAAUAAAGAACAUGACGAGGUAUUAAAUCUAAUGUUCUCCCAAGUCUCGUCUCAACCCUAUCAAGAUUCUGUUGUUUCUUUCUAACCAAAUACCCAGUAAAAUUGCAAGUCUGCUAGUUUGUUUUAAUUUUAUUUUUUGAUUAAAGUUGUUUUGUUAUAGUGACUUUAUUAUUUCAUUGACUCCUUGGUUUAUACUAAAAAAAAUUGAACAAACGAGACAAGAAACUUACACUUGAUGCUCUGUCCGUAGCCUACUCACAUUCUUCAAUUUUGGCGUUGGGAUAAAGGCAGCUUCUGGGUUCAAGGCAACUAAAGCUUUGGACAUGUCGCCUUCUGGGAUGUAGUUUUGUAAAGUUGUUUUGAACUCUUCCAUGCUGAGUUUGAUGGUAGGAAUUUCAUCAGGAUCCUCAUAAAAAGCAUCUUCAAUGUCACUUUCAGUUAUCUCAUUGGGCUCUGGUUCCGGUGUUGCCGGUACUUCAACUAUUGGCUCACAAUUUCCGGGGGCCAAAGUAUUUUCGGUGUAUGUGCUUCCUUCAGGAGGAAGAAUUGGCAAAGGAUUUGUGACUACAGGUGGCUGCUUCUCUGUGGCCAUGGGAUUGGUUGAAGCCACAAUACCCUUUUCAUCAGGUGCUGGCAGAGCAAGUCGGGCACUGCACUAAAUACAGUUCAUGUUUUAGUUAAGAGUUGAGAAGGCAAGCCUAUAGACACGAGUGGACAAUCUUUAUGAACAGAAUUUCUCGCACUUGAACUUUCAUGCUAUAAAAGUUCCUCUCUUUAUCUUGUUCCCUUUGA